UAUUAGAUUGGUGCAAAAGUUAUUGUGGUUUUUGCUGUUACUUUCAAUGGCAAAAACUGCAAUAACUUUUGUACUGACCUAAUA
rnacentral:miRNA from 1 species